rnacentral:rRNA from 1 species
CACCAUUCCCCAUAAGAAAUCUGCUCGCUCACAGCAAUGCAGCUAGAAUAAAAAAUAUAUCUACACUAAGAAUAGACAUGUUACAGAGUUAAAAGUCGCCAAUAAGUGAAUGUAUCUUUUGGAACUAACAAUAGAAACAGAACCAAGAUACAAAGUUACAGACAUGUGAAUGAAUCUUUCAGCACGACAAUGCCAAAUAGAGGCCACUUUCCCUGGUUUCAUUGCGUAUUCAUCCAAAA